rnacentral:tRNA from 1 species
GCGAUAGCUCAAUUGGUAGAGCAGCGGUCUCCAAAACCGCAGGUUGGGGGUUCGACUCCCUCUCGC